UACGUAGGGUGCAAGCGUUAUCCGGAAUUAUUGGGCGUAAAGAGCUCGUAGGCGGUUUGUCGCGUCUGCUGUGAAAACUGGAGGCUCAACCUCCAGCCUGCAGUGGGUACGGGCAAACUAGAGUGCGGUAGGGGAGACUGGAAUUCCUGGUGUAGCGGUGAAAUGCGCAGAUAUCAGGAGGAACACCGAUGGCGAAGGCAGGUCUCUGGGCCACUACUGACGCUGAGAAGCGAAAGCAUGGGGAGCGAACAGG
rnacentral:rRNA from 1 species